rnacentral:tRNA from 1 species
GGGGCCGUGGCGCAGCUGGUAGCGCACCUCCAUGGCAUGGAGGGGGUCAGGGGUUCGAGUCCCCUCGGCUCCA